rnacentral:rRNA from 1 species
UGCGAGAGGCCCAAACGUUAUUCGGAAUUACUGGGCGUAAAGUGUGCGCAGGCGGCCGAGCAAGUCGAGUGUGAAAGCCCCGAGCUUAACUUGGGAACUGCGCUCGAAACUACUUGGCUAGAGUGUGGCAGAGGGAGGUGGAAUUCCACGUGUAGCGGUGAAAUGCGUAGAGAUGUGGAGGAACACCGAUGGCGAAGGCAGCCUCCUGGGCCAACACUGACGCUCAUGCACGAAAGCGUGGGGAGCAAACAGG